GAUGAACGCUGGCGGCGUGCUUAACACAUGCAAGUCGAACGAAGCACUUUAUUUGAUUUCCUUCGGGACUGAUUAUUUUGUGACUGAGUGGCGGACGGGUGAGUAACGCGUGGGUAACCUGCCUUGUACAGGGGGAUAACAGUGGGAAACGGCUGCUAAUACGGAAUAAGGGCCCGGCAUCGCAUGAGGCAGGGGGAAAAACUCCGGUGGUAUAAGAUGGACCCGCGUUGGAUUAGCUAGUUGGUGAGGUAACGGCCCACCAAGGCGACGAUCCAUAGCCGACCUGAGAGGGUGACCGGCCACAUUGGGACUGAGACACGGCCCAAACUCCUACGGGAGGCAGCAGUGGGGAAUAUUGCACAAUGGGCGAAAGCCUGAUGCAGCGACGCCGCGUGAGCGAAGAAGUAUUUCGGUAUGUAAAGCUCUAUCAGCAGGGAAGAUAAUGACGGUACCUGACUAAGAAGCACCGGCUAAAUACGUG
rnacentral:rRNA from 1 species